CACAGGGAUAACUGGCUUGU
rnacentral:sRNA from 1 species